AGAGUUUGAUCCUGGCUCAGGAUGAACGCUAGCGGCAGGCCUAAUACAUGCAAGUCGAACGAUACCAGAGAGCUUGCUUUCUGGGAAAGUGGCGCACGGGUGCGUAACGCGUAUGCAACCUACCUUAAUCAGGGGGAUAGCCUCUCGAAAGAGAGAUUAACACCGCAUAAAAUCACAAGCUGGCAUCAGCAAAUGAUCAAAUAUUUAUAGGAUUAAGAUGGGCAUGCGUGACAUUAGUUUGUUGGUGAGGUAACGGCUCACCAAGACUACGAUGUCUAGGGGAUCUGAGAGGAUGACCCCCCACACUGGUACUGAGACACGGACCAGACUCCUACGGGAGGCAGCAGUAAGGAAUAUUGGUCAAUGGGGGCAACCCUGAACCAGCCAUGCCGCGUGCAGGAAGACGGCCCUACGGGUUGUAAACUGCUUUUAUACCGGAAUAAACCUCUUUACGUGUAAAGAGUUGAAUGUACGGUAAGAAUAAGGAUCGGCUAACUCCGUGCCAGCAGCCGCGGUAAUACGGAGGAUCCAAGCGUUAUCCGGAUUUAUUGGGUUUAAAGGGUGCGUAGGCGGCCUGUUAAGUCAGGGGUGAAAGACGGUGGCUCAACCAUCGCAGUGCCCUUGAUACUGAUGGGCUUGAUUACACUUGAGGUAGGCGGAAUGUGACAAGUAGCGGUGAAAUGCAUAGAUAUGUCACAGAACACCAAUUGCGAAGGCAGCUUACUAAGGUGUUAAUGACGCUGAGGCACGAAAGCGUGGGGAUCAAACAGGAUUAGAUACCCUGGUAGUC
rnacentral:rRNA from 1 species